CUGAAUAUAUAUACAUAUAUAUAAACUGAAUAUAUAUAUGUGUGUGUGUGUGUGUGUAUAUAUAUAUAUAUAUAUAUAUAUAUAUAUAUUCCAGUGUAAGCUCUACACCCAACAUGGGGCUUGAACUCACAACCCUGAGUUCAAGAGUUGCCUGCUCUACCGACUGAGCCAGCCAGGCACCCUCUUUUUGUAGAUGUUCUUUUUUAAAAAAACUUUUUUUUAAUUUAUUUAUUUUGAGGGAGAGAGAGAGUGCAAGCAGGGGAGGGGGAGAGAGAAUCCUAAGCAGGCUCCACACUAACAGCACAGAGCCCGAUGUGGGGCUCAAACUCAUGAACCAUGAGAUGAUGACUUGAACCAAAGUCGGACACUUAACCAGCUGAGCCACCCAGGUGCUCCCGGCUAUAUUCUAAGGCCCGUUUUUCAUGACCUUAGUAUACACGAGGAUCAUCAACCUUGGGGUCUGAAGAUCCUGGUUUUUAGCCCCCAUUGUUCCUAGAUGUGGACAUACAAGGUGUAGGUGAUAGGGAUAAAUGUUCAUUUCCCUGGAUAAAUGUCCAUUUAAAGACAUUGUAGAAAAGGAUUUGGUUCUGGGGUGGCUGGCAGUGGCCAGGUUGGGACUAAUACACAAACGGGGCAGUUGGAAUUCAGGGACACAAGUACUACAGAGAAGGUCACUUGUUCAUUCAGCUAAUACUUACUAUGCCUACUGUGUGCCACUGUGCUAGUCACUGGUCACAAUGCUAAAUGAAAAUAGUCAUGGUCCCUACUCAUAUGGAGCUUAUAGUCUACUGAGGAAAUAGACUUUAAUCAAGUAAUAUCGCAGUUCUAACAGUACAGUUCCAAUAAACCAAGGAAGGAAAGGCAUGUGAGACCAUGAGGGUGAAUGGUGGGGCUCAGGGAUGGCUUUCCUGGUUCAACUGAGAUAUGAGGGGUGGGGAGCCAUAGGGGCUGUGGUGCUGGGGUCAGUCAUGAGUUGGAAUAUGAGCAGGAACAUUUUGACACAGUAGACUGCAUAUGCAAAGGCCCUGAGGCAGAAAGGAACUUCACAUGGAAGGCAGGAGGUGAGAAAAGGGCAGUGUAGUUUGAGGAGAGAGUAAAGGAAGGUGUGGUGGGAGAUGUAGUUGGAAAGCCCUCUAAGAAGACUGGAGGAGUUGGAAAAGGCUUCCUAGGGAAAUGACAUCUGUAUCUUUUCAGUAUAAAUAUAGUUGAGUUCUUCUGGUAGAGAAGAGGGAGAGAUAAUUUUAGAUAGAGAGUAUCAGUAACUUGGUAUGUUCAGUGUGGCUUGAAUGUCACUUAUAUGAAGGAACCCCAUCAUUCCAGUUAAUGGAAGUUCCUACUUCAGUGGGUUCGUGGUAACUAGAAUUUUACUAGAUUUGCAAUUUUGAGAUGUAUCUGCCUACAUUUAUACAGGGACUCGUUAAAUAGAGAAGGAAGGAAGGAAUGAACACACGAAUGCUGUGUUAUUGAGUGGGUGAGGGGGUGGUGGGUGAUGUGCCAGGGUUGACAUGACCUUGGAUACGUUAGCGUUUCGUCUGCUCAGGUCUGUGGCUAAUAGAAGGCCAGCUGCCCUGACAUGUCAGGCCCCCAGGCUCUGUCCCCUCCUCCUCUGCAAGACCUGGGAAGCCUCCUGAAAUACUGAUCGCUGGCCCAGCAUCACCCCGGUUGCCUGAAUCAGUCCCCGCUCAAGGCAGGGAAGACCGGGAAGAGUUCCAGUCCGCGGUCUGGGUCAGGAGUUAUUGUUAGUUCGACCUGGGUCAUGGUGGCCUGGUUUGGGUAAGCGAGGUUCAGAUUAUCACAUAAGCUGAGUGGCAGAGCUUGCUCCAGACACUGGUGGGCAGUCCAAACUAGAUGGAAGAUGUCCUGUCUGCAAGGGAGGAGUGGGAGGGAAAGCUGCAGGGGUGGAGAAGGGAGGGGGCACGUUAGAGACCGCCCCUGGGGCAGCCAGCUGUGUCUCUGGCAGGGUGAUGUCAUUCGGUCUGGACUCGGGAAUAAAUCUUUGUUUCUUUCCCCAAAGAAGCUACAAUCGGAAAAUUUUGGAGCUUAUGAUAUGUUUUUUUUUCCUGCUUUUAACAAUUCAUUUGCCUAGAUAGAAACAAACAAGGCUAUUUGCUAGCUGGUGUUAGGUAGGAAGUCUGUAUGUUUCAAAGGUUUUCAUAAAUGUAAGGAAUAUUCUUUCAUCUUGAAAACCAAGAUUUUCUUCCCACCAAACUAUUCUUGCAGGUUGGGAUGGCCUGAGAGAGAACUAUUGAUGGCUUCCGAGGUUGUGGGAUUCAGCUAUGCCAAAAGACCAUGACAUCGAGGGAUUAUUAUAAAUUGAGGGCACAGAUUUGCUUGUGAAUAACGGAACAGCUGCCUAAAACAACAUCUGAAGGGCAAUUACCUCCAGUCUAAUUUGAUGAACGUGGGCUUCAUAAUCUGUGGCCAAUUAAGUAUUAUCAGCUCUUCUUGGCCCCCCAGAGAAACAUACAAACGUGAGCCACUCUUAUCUACAGUGACCACAUGUGCAUGACUGUACUUUUGUUAAAUUUGACUUUUUUCAGCUCAAGCAAAGGAUAAACUGGCCCUUCACUUUUAGGAGAUUUAGGACACAUUACUGAGCACCCAUUGCCAUUUUAGUAGGUACGUGGAGUGGGAUGAGAAGACCACAUGUGCCUCUUUGAAUUUCUUGUGACUAGUAGGGAGGAAAUCACAUGGAGAUAGGGAAAUAGAAAUGGAGCUCAUAUUAAAAAUCUUGGCAUUUCUAGGAGCGCCUGGGUGGCUCAGUCAGUUAAGCAUCCGACUUCAGCUCAGGUCAUGAUCUUGAGAUUCGUGGGUUCGAGCCCCGUGUCGGGCUCUGUGCUGACAGCUUAGAGCCUGGAGCUUGCUUUGGAUUCUCUCUCUCUCUCUCUCUCUCUCUCUCUCUCUCUCUCUCUCUCCUUCUCUCUCUCUCUUUCUCUCUCUGCCCCUCCCCUGCUCAUGCUCUCUCUGCCUCAAAAAUAAACAUUAAAAACAUUAAAAAAAAAAAAACACCUUGUCAUUUGUAUAUCAUGCCACACCUCCUUGCUUUGUAGAUGACAUCUGGUCUCUACUGGCCUGUUCCAAAUUAUACUUCUCACAGGGCUAUUCUGAUUUUGCACUUGUAGGUACUUUUAAUUAUGUCUCCAUUAACCCCUACCUGCGUGCUCCUGUCCUUGGCAGCUGCCUUCUUCAGAAAGCUUUCUGGCUCCCAGCAGGGGCAGCUCUUUGGCCAGCAUGGAAGGUAAAACACUGAUGUGGCAGGAUAAAGGAAGCCCUGGAUUUCUUCAGGGUGGAGAGGGGAGAGCAAUGCAGAAUCUGGACAAUCUGUGGGCUUCAGGCUUCAUUAUUUAGCAUCAUUGAGAUCUCCAGCAACCUGCAGGCAGUAGAAAGUUAGAGGGGCGCCUGGGUGGCUCAGUCGGUUGAGUGUCUGACUUCGGCUCAGGUCAUGAUCUCGAGGUCCAUGAGUUCGAGCCCUGUGUCGGGCUCUGUGCAGACAGCUCAGAGCCUGGAGCCUGUUUCAGUUUCUGUGUCUCCCUCUCUCUCUGCCCCUCCCCUGCUCAUGCUCUGUCUCUCUCUCUGUGUAUCAGAAAUAAAUAAACAUUAAAAAAAAUUUUUAAAGAAAGUUAGAAAGAGGGCAACCGUGUAGCACCAGGCAAAUCCACCAGGUUUUUCCAGGUUAGUUAGGCCUCAGCUGGGCAGUAGCUCUCAGCAAAUUGUCAGACAGCUUGGCAGCAUGUGCAUGGAUUCCAAGAAGGAAGAACUUCAUACAUCCGGGAAUUCAGACAUCUCCCUCCACCUCCAGGGACAAAGAAAAGGAUGCCUGACCGCCGGCAAUUAAUAUUUAUUCUUUUUUUUUUUUUUUAAGCACUUGUUACUGCACUUAGCCUCCCUAUGCCUCAGCUUUCUCAAGUAGCAAGUUGGGUUUGAUGAACCGGUGUCAGAUAUUUCCUCUGGCAGUAAUGUUCUGUGAUUAUGGAAUUCUAGAAAGUACACAGGAGAGAACAAGUAUCUGGUCUUCAGAGAUCUCUGUUCUAAUUAGGGAGUUUCAUGAAACCAUGAAAAGAAAACACACACACACACACACACACACACACACACACACACUCCAGAUGUACUUUACGAGAUAAGGGAUGUGACAAGAAGGACUGAUGGCCCCUGCUGGGCCAGAUUUUCCCAGGAAAAUCUUUAGGGAAGCUGGAGGGUUUGCACUGAGCAUUUCAGGGUGGGCAGGGUUUAGAGGGUGAGGAAAGGAGAAGGCAUUUUCAGAGUGGAAAGCUGAGAGGAGGCCAGAGUGGGACAUGCAGAAAAGACUGCAUCUGUCUUGCUCACUCCUGGUUUUUUAAGAUAUCAUUGGAUAUAUACUCAUACUAGAAUAUUCUAGUAUAGAUUUAUUUAUAGGUAAUAUUUAUGAUUAUCCAGGAGACAGGUAGAGUGAAGGGCUGGAAAAAAAAUAAGAUUAAGUAGGAGUUUUGUUGUUCAACCAUGUUCCCAAAUGCCUAAAACAGUGCCUGGCCAACAGGGGGGCUCAGCAAAUCUUUGUUGAAUGAAUGAACUGAUCACUGACGUGAUUUCAGGCUGUCGUGUAAGUAACGGGGAACACUGGAAGUUUGGGUACCAUUUAGGAAAGGUAUCUGGCAACUGUUUGUAGAAUCGUUUGUGAAGCGGGGAGGAAAGAAGGAAAUGAGUUAAGAGAACACAGAAGUAGGGGCACCUGGGUGGCUCAGUUGGUUAAGCGUCCGACUUUGGCUCAGGUCACGAUCUCCCGGUUGGUGAGUUCGAGACCUUUGAGCCCCGUGUUGGGCUCUGUGCUGACAGCUCAGAGCCUGGAGCUGGCUUCGGAUUCUGCGUCUCCCUCUCUCUCUGCCCCUCCCCCACUCAUGCUCUGUCUCUCUCUCAAAAAUGAAUAAACAUUCAAAAAAUAUUUUUUACAAUGGAGAAACAAGAUACAGCUUUGUCUGUUGGAAGGGAGGGGCCGUGGGCAUUAGUGGUAAGUUUUUGAUACUUAGAAUUGCCUUCAUUAGGCAUUUGCAAAUUUAGAGGUCGAGACUCAUCUCAGGGCCAGAGAUGGGGCGUCUGCAGGCUGAUGUGGGAGGCAGCAGCUUGAGGGGAGGGGGGUGUGGGAGACAGGGAGGCCACCCCAGAAGUAGCGUGCGUGCAGCCUCAGCAUCUGUGUUCGCAGGGCUCUGGGCUUCCACCCCAGCUGUUUGUUUUAGAAACAUCACAGACGUCUUAGAAGCUAUGCUUCGUUCCUGCCUGGGAGAGCUCUUACUCCAUAGGAUUCUCCUGAGCCACUUCCCUGGCAUCUCCUUUAUUUCCUGUAUAGGAUCCUUUGGCUGUGUUAUCUUUCUUGUACUCUUAUCCCGUGUAAAGCUUUCUGAUUCGUAUCCAAUACAUGAGCAUCCAGCAUCCCCUGUUAGAACUGAUCCCCUUGCUAGUUUUGAAGGAUACGCUGCUUAUAACUCUGUGUGUGUGUGCGCGCGUGUGUGUAAAUCUCUUCGAAACUGAACUGUAAUAACUAAUCUUACAACCUCAAGUCAUAGGGAAAUAUGUGCAGUAUGCACUGAUUGGAUAUUACAAGGUGCUGAUACGCACGAUAUGAAUCAAUGUUGGAGUAGAAGGACAUUUACCAUAGAAUACUAUACCUUUCUCGUUUUUACCUUAAAAAUUCCAGUUUACUGGCAGCGUUUGACUAGAAAUAAUUGGGAAUGUUAAGCCCUUGUCAAAGAAUAUUAUUUCUCCUGUUCGUUUUGGCAACACACAAACUAAAAUUGGAACAUUACAGAGGUGACGAUGUGGCCCCAUGUAAAGAUGACAAGCCAGUUCACGGAACAUUCCAUAUUUGUACGUACCUUUUUGAAAACUGAAAAAAAUAUCACUUUUCACUUUUCUACCUGAGGUGGACCAGGUAUUUUCUGAACGGCCUGUUUCUUCUCUCCUUUCCUUUUCAUAAAUCUUUUGAAUGGCACACUGGUGAUCAUAUAAGAUGAAUUUGACCAGAAUUCUGUGAUUGAUAAGAGUUUUGCCAACCUUUUUUUUUUUUUUUAAAGAUUUUUUUAAAGUAAGUUCUAUGCGCGUUGUAGGCGCGCCCCUUAAAUUUUUUUUUUAAUGUUUAUCUUUGAGAGACAGACAGAGUGUAAGAGGGGGAAGGGCAGAGAGAGAAGGAGACACAGAAUCCGAAGCAGGCUCCAGGCUCUGAGCUGUCAGCACGGAGUCUGACAUGGGGCUUGAACCCACGAACUGUGAGAUCAUGACCUGAGCUGAAGUUGGUUGCCUAACUGACUGAGCCACCCAGGCACCCCUAUAGGGAUCAAACUUAAAACUCUGAGAUCAAGAUUCUCGUGCUCUGCCAACUGAGCCAGCCAGGCGCCCCCAAAAUCUGAUGAUUUCCUUUCUUUUCUUUUCUUUUCUUUUCUUUUCUUUUCUUUUCUUUUCUUUUUUCUUUUCUUUUCUUUUCUUUUCUUUUCUUUUCUUUUCUUUUCUUUUCCUUUCCUUUAUUUUAUUUUUUUACUAAGCUUUACACCCAACGUGGGGCUUGAACUCACAACCCUAAGAUCAAGAGGCACAGAAUUUUGCUAAACUUUCAUUGUGGUAUACUACUUGCCUUUUAAACAAAUUAUUUGUGAAAAAUAACUUCACAACUUUAAAUGGUAAACUUCUCAAUGGCAGUUUGCAUCUGUAUAUCUCUUCAAGUCAAGCAUCUGCUGAAAAGAUAUUGAUGACUAUGUGGGAGGAAGGACGGUGCUGUAUGAAUACAGUUUCAUGACACUUGGCAGUUCCCAUAAAUGAACUGAAUAGCAUAAAUUGUCUUUACCUCUGUAGUGUCUAGACUAAAGAAUUAGAACCAUGAGUUUAUAAAAGUCCAGGUUGCUGUCUACACAAAUAGAAAAGUGUUUAAAAAUUAUGCUUCCAAUGGGAUAAUGAUGAAAUAUUUAGUAUGGCAUUGGGCCAAGUGGGUAGGUGUCUGGAGAAAGAUAAGGUUGGUUCUAUAUCUCAUAUCAUUCAAAUAAACUCUACCUUGGUUAGUUCAUUUUGCAUGAUGAUCACUGAUAUUCAGAAGAAUUAUGACAAAGAAAGCAGGGAGAAAUCAGGGAGGCAGUUCUAAAAUGUCGGGCCUACCUCCAUUGGAACAAAUGAAAAAUGAUUUGUAACAAACAUUUCAAAACGUGAUGUCGGGUCUACCUCCAUUGGAACAAGUGAAAAAUGAUUUGUAACAAACAUUUCAAAACAUGAGUAUAUAUUCAUAUCUGCUUAAAAUCUUAAAAGGACUGGAAAAAAAACAUGGGCAAAUUCCUUUAUAAUAAAGAAGGCCUUUUUAACUGUGACUUAAAAUUCAGAAA